rnacentral:piRNA from 1 species
AUACAUCUUCGGGGUGUUUUUGCCUU